GACGAACGCUGGCGGCGUGCUUAACACAUGCAAGUCGAACGGUGAAGCGCCUUCCUUUUUGGUGGGUGUGGAUGAGUGGCGAACGGGUGAGUAACACGUGAGUAACCUGCCCCCUUCUUCUGGAUAACCGCAUGAAAGUGUGGCUAAUACGGGAUAUUCUGGGUCUGUCGCAUGAUGGGUCUGGGAAAGAUAUUGUUUCGGUGGGGGAUGGGCUCGCGGCCUAUCAGCUUGUUGGUGGGGUGAUGGCCUACCAAGGCGGUGACGGGUAGCCGGCCUGAGAGGGUGGACGGUCACACUGGGACUGAGACACGGCCCAGACUCCUACGGGAGGCAGCAGUGGGGAAUAUUGCACAGUGGGCGCAAGCCUGAUGCAGCGACGCCGCGUGAGGGAUGGAGGCCUUCGGGUUGUGAACCUCUUUCGCCAGUGAAGCAGGCCUGCCUCGUUUGUGGGUGGAUUGACGGUAGCUGGAGAAGAAGCGCCGGCUAACUACGUG
rnacentral:rRNA from 1 species